UAUUAAUCAUGAAUUAUUUGUAUUAAUUAUUUUUUAUUAAUAAUAAUAUUAAUUAUUAUUUUGUUCUUAUUUUUGUUUAUUUAUUACUUUUAAAGAUUGUAACUUUUUAAUUAAUCUAUUCUAAGGCAGUCUGUUCUUGGUUGUUUAGGAGGAGAUUAAAAAACUUUGUCUCUCUUGUUCUUGAAAAUAAAAAAAUAAAAAAAUUGAAAAAGAAUAAUAAUGAUAAUAAAUCCACCUCACCCGACAGAGGUGCACCACUAAAAUGCAUUCCAUACAGAAAUGAAAUAUGAUGAAAGAAGGUAUUUUGAAGAUUUUUGGAAACCUAUUGACUUCCACUGAAUGGUCACAUGGACAUUUAUCAAAAUCUCUUUAUCUAUGUUCCACAGAAGAAACAAAUCCAUAAAGGUUUAAAAUGACAAGUAAACUAUGAAUUUUCUUGCUUGCGCAAACUAUCCUAUUGACAUGGCUAGAUUAGCUAGACACAAACCCUUCGAACACAGAAGCAUUAUCACACCGAAAGGAUGCAUUUCCUGCUGCUGUGCCACUCUGGUAACCAUGCCGACCACACAGAUGGCCAAUCCAAUCUAUUCCAAUCAGAGCAGUGGCCUUUGCCACUCUUGCAAGGAAUUAUUAAUAGCCGACAACCCCAGAGCCACAUCAAUCUCUCAGCAGAGACAUCAUCAGCUGAGCUCUCAGAAUCAUCUUGCUUGAUGAAGCUCACAUCUGUGAGACUCUCACUGGACAGCAGGCCGACUCUCCACAGUGAUGCUGUGAGGUCAUGCCUGAAAAGGCCCCUAGAUCUUGCAAACAACCUCUCUCAUCCUUACCCUGAUGGAUUGAACAAUAAGAGCAGAAGCCAUGAAUGGUGUCCACACAAAGGAGCAAGCAAUAAUUCACAUGAUCUUGGAAUCCAGUUAAUUCAUUGGUGUACAAAUGAAGCCUGCUAUGUUUUAGAUCAUAUAAGGUGCCAUGUGUCUAUUUGCUUUGAACUCAUGAUAAAUUGCUUUAUUAUGCUUGAUUUGUGCAAAGCCAAGUGACAUCAUGUGUUCUUAUUAUGUCAGAUUUAUGGCAUGGAAGUUUAAAUCCAUUGAAUGUUUUCAAAGGUCACAAUCUGAUUAAUCACCUUCACAAUUUGAUUGACACUCUAAUAUAAGAAUGGAGCUUGUGAGACUUGUUUCCAUAAAUUUAAUCUGACACAUUUAAUUUAGAUAUGUCCUCUAGACUGCACUUGCCAUGCAAUUAUGCUUUUUACAAAUGCUUCAUUGCCUUUCUUUCAUUUUUAUAUCCUUUCAGCUAUACAUAUACUCUGAUUCUACAGGGGAAUUAAAUAAUAUUUCUGCGAAUAAUUCUGUGAUUUUUAUUUUUUUUAACUCAAACUAUUUUUUUUCUCAGUGAAACAUAAUAGGAGUUGUUUUGCAGUAUGUUCACACUGCUCUUUUUCUAUUAUUUGUUAUUAUUAAAUUAUAUAUAUAUAUAUAUAUAUAUAUAUAUAUAUAUAUAUAUAUAUAUAUAUAUAUAUAUUCUUUGGAGCAAGUUAAAAUAAAAAAAUGAAUUUUUAAGUUUUUGAAUUAUUGUUAUUAUUGCCAUUUUUCAAAUUCUUGUAUAGUAUAAUGGUGGUACAAAUAUUAUUAUUUUAGUUCA
ensembl:lncRNA